CAGGUUUGAAGGCUUGAUAAUAAUAAUUUUGUUAUUUUCAUCGAUUCAUUACUUGAUACAUAGUUUGUCUUCGUAGGAUGUCUUGUCUCUCUUCUCUCUUCCCCUCCAUUUCUAUCUGGAUCCAUAGGCCAAAGGAGCUCGCCCUUGAAAACCUUGUUGGGCAUAUUAAGUUGGACUCAGUGAGGCACUUCUUUGCUCUGCCAUGGGAGAAAUGAAUUGGAUUCAGCGUAAGAUCUUCCUCUACAAUGUUACUUUUGGCCUUUAUAUGUUGGAUUGGUGGGAACGCUGUACUUUUAAUAUUUUGCUGAUUGUAUUAAUGUGGUUCGUGAUACGAUAUGUUACUGAGUUCUUCAGGAGGUAUGUGUUCAAGCAGUAUAUGUAGAUGGUGACUUCAUGAUUCAUAUUAGUUGCAUUUAGUGUAGCUGACUAGGAAAAUAUCCUGUAGCAGUUUGAUAUGAACUGACUUUGGAGUUUCUUCAAGCUCUCAACAGAAAUUGCGCAUCUCAUGCCUGUUGUGCACCGUCGUUAAUCUUAUAUUUUUGACAUUCGCUUGCUUGUUAGAUUGUAUUAUGUGGGAUGAUAAUUGCGUUACUACGUUAUAAUAAAUUUUUUGAGAAUUUUUACUA